rnacentral:rRNA from 1 species
AUGGAGAGCGGCAGCGGCGCCAUGCACAACAUGACCGACGAGGAGCUGCUCUGGAGGGCGUCCAUGGUGCCGAGGAUCAAGAGCACGCCGAAGCACAGGAUCGUGCCCAAGGUGGCCUUCCUGUUCCUGGUGAGGGGGGACGUGCCGCUGCGUCCCCUGUGGGACAAGUUCUUCGAUGGCCACGAGGGGCUCUACUCCAUCUACGUGCACACCAGCCCCGACUACACCGGCUCGCCGCCGCCCGACUCCCCCUUCUACGGCCGUAUCAUCCCGAGCCAGAGAACGAGCUGGGGGAACAUCAACCUGAUGGACGCGGAGCGGCGGCUGCUGGGGAACGCGCUGCUGGACGUCGCCAACGCGCGGUUCGCGCUGCUGUCGGAGUCGUGCAUCCCCAUCCUGGGCUUCCCCGCCCUGUACGCCUACCUCACCGGAUCCAACACCAGCUUCGUCGACAGCUUCGACCGCCGGGACGGGCGCGCGCGGCACCGGGAAUUCUUCGCCGAGCGCAACAUCAGCCUAGCGCAAUGGCGCAAGGGCGCGCAGUGGUUCGAGAUGGACCGCGCGCUCGCGCUCGAGGUCGUCUCCGACGAGACCUACUACGGCCCGGUGUUCCGGAACGGCAAGCACGGCGUCCGCAACCUGGAGGAGCACUAUCCCAUGACGCUGGCGAGCCUGCUGGGCUGGGGCCGCCGCAACGCCAACCGGACCGUCACCUACGCCGACUGGCGGCACCCGGUGGGACAGCACCCAAAGAGCCACAACGGCAGCGAGAUCACCGAGGAGCUCUUCGAGGAGAUGAGGCGGGGCUACGGCGACUGCUACUACAACGGCGGGGUGGCCGAGGUGUGCGCCGUGUUCGCACGCAAGUUCAAGCCGGAGGCGCUCGAUGCCCUGCUCGAGCUGGCCCCCAAGUUGUUUGCCUCUGGGAACUGA